UGUGUGUGUGUGUGUGUGUGUGUGUAUGUGUGUUUAAUAUUUAAGUGUUAGGUAUGUUCCUAGUAGUAUGCCAAUAAAGCACAUUCACUGCCUAUGGC